AAGGACACGUGCACAGGUGCUGCAUGGCUGUCGUCAGCUCGUGUCGUGAGAUGUUGGUUAAGUCCCGCAACGAGCGCAACCCUUAUUGCUAGUUACCAUCAUUAAGUUGGGGGACUCUAGCGAGACUGCCAGUGAUAAACUGGAGGAAGGUGGGGAUGACGUCAAAUCAUCAUGCCCCUUAUGACCUGGGCUACAAACGUGAUACAAUGGCUGAAACAAAGGGCAGCGAAGCAGUGAUGUGGAGCGAAACCCAAAAAAGCAGUCUCAGUUCGGAUUGAAGUCUGCAACUCGACUUCAUGAAGUUGGAAUCGCUAGUAAUCGUAGAUCAGAACGCUACGGUGAAUACGUUCUCGGGGUUU
rnacentral:rRNA from 1 species